rnacentral:rRNA from 1 species
GAUUAGGCAUGCAAGUCGGACGGUAGGAUAUCCUUUCGGGGUAUCUGAGAGUGGCGAACGGGUGAGUAACGCGUAGGUGAUCUACCUUCAGGUGGGGGACGACCCGGGGAAACCCGGGCUAAUACCGCAUGUGGCUGAAAAGCCAAAGCCGGCCUCUGUUUACAAGCUGGUGCCUGGAGCUGAGCCUGCGUCUGAUUAGCUUGAUGGUGGGGUAACGGCCUACCAUGGCGAUGAUAAGUAGGCGGCUUUAACGAGUGGCCGCCCACACUGGGAUUGAGAAACGGCCCAGACUCCUACGGGAGGCAGCAGUCGAGAAUAGUCUACAAUGGUCGGAAGACUGAUAGUGCGACGCCGCGUGAACGAGGAAGCCUUUCGGGGUGUAAAGUUCUUUUCUAUGGGAGCAGGGCAUCCCUGGUUAACAGCGAGGGGUGUUUGAUAUUACUAUAGGAAUAAGCCACGGCUAACUCCGUGCCAGCAGCCGCGGUAAUACGGGGGUGGCGAGCGUUGUCCGGAAUUACUAGGCGUAAAGGGCAGGCAGGCGGAUUUGUAAGUUAAUCGUUAAAGGCCCGUGCUCACCAUGGGUAGGGCGGUUGAUACUGCGGAUCUGGAAGCGAGUGGGGGGAGACGGAAUUCCCGGUGUAGCGGUGGAAUGCGCAGAUAUCGGGAGGAACACCGAAGGCGAAGGCAGUCUUCUACGCUUGUCUUGACGCUCAACUGCGAAGGUGCGGGUAUCAAACAGGAUUAGAUACCCUGGUAGUCCGCACAGUAAACGAUAAUCACUGGGUGUCGGUCGGAUAUGCCGGUCGGUGCCGUAGCAAACGCGUUAAGUGAUUCGCCUGGGGAGUACGAUCGCAAGGUUGAAACUUAAAUGAAUUGACGG